GCACUUCAGGAGUAAAUGUCAGUUGGCUUUUCAUAGCCAAUCAGUGAGAGUAUCUCUACCGCUCCUGCUGUCUCUAGAGAGUUGAAAACAGCAGGUGCGGUAGAGAUACUCUCAAAGAUCGGCUAUGAAAAAGCCAACUGACACUUACUCUUGUGUUACUGACUUGUUACACCCUCGACAACUACUAUGAUUAUUAUUAUUUGACAAUGCUGGUCAUUUAUGAACAUUUGAACAUCUAGGCCAUGUGCUGUUAUAAUCUCCACCCGGCACAGCCAGAAGAGGACUGGCCACCCCUCAUAGCCUGGUUCCUCUCGAGGUUUCUUCCUAGGUUUUUGGCCUUUCUAGGGAGUUUUUCCUAGGGAGUUUUUCCUAGCCACCGUGCUUCUUUCACAUGCUUUGCUUGCUGUUUGGGGUUUUAGGCUGGGUUUCUGUACAGCACUUUGAGAUAUCAGCUGAUGUACGAAGGGCUAUAUAAAAAUACAUUUGAUUGAUUUGAAUUUGAAUACCAUCAUGGCCACCUAAUCAUCCCCAGCUUACAAUUGGCUCAUUCAUCCCUCUCCCCUGUAACUAUUCCCCAGGUUGUUGCUGUAAAUGACAAUGUGUUCUCAGUCAGCUUACCUAGUAAAAUAAUGGUAAAAAAAAUUUGGAGGUGUGGAUGUAUUUCAAGGCCUACCUUCAAAUGCAGUGCCUCUUUGCUUGACAUCAUGGGAAAAUAAAAAGAAAUCAGACCUCCACAAGUCUGGUUUGUCCUUGGGAG
rnacentral:lncRNA from 1 species